rnacentral:rRNA from 1 species
CCUACGGGACGCAGCAGUGGGGAAUAUUGCACAAUGGGGGAAACCCUGAUGCAGCGACGCCGCGUGAGUGAAGAAGUAUUUCGGUAUGUAAAGCUCUAUCAGCAGGGAAGAAGAAGGACGGUACCUGAGUAAGAAGCCCCGGCUAACUACGUGCCAGCAGCCGCGGUAAUACGUAGGGGGCAAGCGUUAUCCGGAUUCACUGGGCGUAAAGGGAGCGCAGGCGGCACGGCAAGUCUGGUGUGAAAACCCGGGGCUCAACCCCGGGACUGCAUUUGGAACUGUGCGGCUAGAGUGUCGGAGAGGCG